AACGAACGCUGGUGGCAGGCCUAACACAUGCAAGUCGAGCGCCCGCAAGGGAGCGGCGGACGGGUGAGUAACGCGUGGGAACGUGCCCUUUGCUACGGAAUAGCCUCGGGAAACUGAGAGUAAUACCGUAUGUGCCCUUCGGGGGAAAGAUUUAUCGGCAAAGGAUCGGCCCGCGUUGGAUUAGGUAGUUGGUGGGGUAAUGGCCUACCAAGCCGACGAACCAUAGCUGGUUUGAGAGGAUGAUCAGCCACACUGGGACUGAGACACGGCCCAGACUCCUACGGGAGGCAGCAGUGGGGAAUCUUAGACAAUGGGCGCAAGCCUGAUCUAGCCAUGCCGCGUGAGCGAUGAAGGCCUUAGGGUUGUAAAGCUCUUUCGUGGGGGAAGAUAAUGACGGUACCCCAAGAAGAAGCCCCGGCUAACUCCGUGCCAGCCGCCGCCGUAAAAC
rnacentral:rRNA from 1 species